CGUCAAGAACUAGAAUCAGAAAACAAAAAACUGAAGAAUGAGCUAAAUGAGUUGCGCAAGGCCCUCAGUGAGAAAAGUGCCCCAGAGGUGACCGCCCCAGGUGCACCUGCCUACCGUGUCCUCAUGGAGCAGCUGACCUCUGUGAGCGAGGAGCUUGAUGUCCGCAAGGAGGAAGUCCUCAUCUUAAGGUCUCAACUGGUGAGCCAGAAAGAGGCCAUCCAACCCAAGGUAAGCGCAAGCACACAAUUAAACUGAUUCCACAAUACUUUUGGAAGAUGUACAAAAAAUGAAAGAUAAAGGUGAAAUAGCACAAGCAUACAUUGGUUUGAAAGAAACAAAUAAUCAUCUGCUCUGGAUUACCAUGAGUUGAAUGAGGAUGGAGAGCUGUGGCUGGUUUAUGAAGGGUUAAAACAAGCCAACAGCUCCUGGAAUCCCAGCUGCAGUCACAGAAGAGGAGCCAUGAGAAUGAGGCCGAGGCCCUCCGUGGGGAGAUCCAGAGCCUGAAGGAGGAGAACAACCGACAGCAGCAGCUGCUGGCCCAGAACCUGCAGCUGCCCCCAGAGGCCCGCAUUGAGGCCAGCCUGCAGCACGAGAUCACCCGGCUGACCAACGAAAACUU
rnacentral:lncRNA from 1 species